GGGGGCGUGGCGUAGGGGUUAUCACGCUUCAUUUGCAUUGAAGAGGUCACGAGUAUAAUUCUCGUCUUCUCCA
rnacentral:tRNA from 1 species